GACGUAGGGCGCGAGCGUUGUCCGGAUUUAUUGGGCGUAGAGCGUGUAGGCGGCCAGGUAGGUCUGCUGUGAAAACUCGAGGCUUAACCUCGAGAUGUCGGCGGAAACCAUCUGGCUAGAGUCCGGAAGAGGAGAGUGGAAUUCCUGGUGUAGCGGUGAAAUGCGCAGAUAUCAGGAAGAACACCUAUGGCGAAGGCAGCUCUCUGGGACGGUACUGACGCUGAGACGCGAAAGCGUGGGGAGCGAACAGG
rnacentral:rRNA from 1 species